rnacentral:rRNA from 1 species
UACGAGGGAUGCAAGCGUUAUCCGGAAUUACUGGGCGUAAAGAGCGCGCAGGCGGUCGUUCAAGUCGAGUGUGAAAGCCCCCGGCUCAACUGGGGAGGGUCAUUCGAUACUGAUCGACUCGAAGGCAGGAGAGGGAAGUGGAAUUCCCGGUGUAGUGGUGAAAUGCGUAGAUAUCGGGAGGAACACCAGUGGCGAAGGCGACUUCCUGGCCUGUUCUUGACGCUGAGGCGCGAAAGCUAGGGGAGCAAACGGG